UACGAAGGGUGCUAGCGUUGCUCGGAAUCACUGGGCGUAAAGCGCACGUAGGCGGACUGUUAAGUCGGUGGUGAAAUCCUGGAGCUCAACUCCAGAACUGCCUUCGAUACUGAGAGUCUCGAGUCCGGGAGAGGUGAGUGGAACUGCGAGUGUAGAGGUGAAAUUCGUAGAUAUUCGCAAGAACACCAGUGGCGAAGGCGGCUCACUGGCCCGAUACUGACGCUGAGGUGCGAAAGCGUGGGGAGCAAACAGG
rnacentral:rRNA from 1 species